rnacentral:rRNA from 1 species
UACGUAGGUGGCAAGCGUUGUACGGAUUUACUGGGCGUAAAGGAUGCGUAGGCGGACAUUUAAGUCAGAUGUGAAAUACCCGAGCUUAACUUGGGUGCUGCAUUUGAAACUGGGUGUCUAGAGUGCAGGAGAGGUAAGUGGAAUUCCUAGUGUAGCGGUGAAAUGCGUAGAGAUUAGGAAGAACACCAGUGGCGAAGGCGACUUACUGGACUGUAACUGACGCUGAGGCAUGAAAGCGUGGGGAGCAAACAGG